CAGUAGCCGCGGUAAUACGUAGGGGGCAAGCGUUGUCCGGAAUUAUUGGGCGUAAAGCGCGCGCAGGCGGUCAUGUAAGUCUGGUGUUUAAUCCCGGGGCUCAACCCCGGAUCGCACUGGAAACUGUGUGACUUGAGUGCAGAAGAGGAGAGUGGAAUUCCACGUGUAGCGGUGAAAUGCGUAGAGAUGUGGAGGAACACCAGUGGCGAAGGCGACUCUCUGGGCUGUAACUGACGCUGAGGCGCGAAAGCGUGGGGAGCAAACAGGAUUAGAUACCCCCGUAGUCCCUGUCUCUUAUACA
rnacentral:rRNA from 1 species